AGGCAGCGGAGCGGCUGCGGAGCGGCGGCGGCGGUGGCGUCGGGAGCCCCGGCCCCGCGAUAAAAGGGAAGGGGCCGGGCGGCGGGCGGCGCGCGUUGCGGCACUGGGGGGAGCGUGGCCGGGAAGGAGGGAGGGAGCGAAGGAGCCGCCUCCCGCAGGAAUCCCGGGCAGGCGGCAGUAGCAGCGGCGGCAGCCGGGACGCGCGGCUCCCCCUGCCUGCGCGGCGGCGGGAGGCGGGUGAGCAUCGAGGAGCAGCCGCCGCCUCAUCCUGCGGCAGCGGCCGGCGCUGCCCGGCGAGCGCAGGUGGCAGUGUAGAAGCCAAGAACAAAAAUUGGCAGAAAUUAUAUUCUGUAUACGAGAGAAUGAAGAGUAUACUCAUGACUAAGCACAGGAACCUGGAAAACCACAGGAUUCCUGGGAAGCCACGGAGGAUGGGGUGAACUCAGAGCUGGAGCAUGAGGAGUUUUUUGGAACUUGUGAAUGGGAAGUUAUCCUGGGGAGUUGAAAAACCACACACCUGCUUCAUUUGUGCUUCAUAUUGGCUCUUUGGAGAGAGGGAGCAGAGAUGCAAAGCAAAAGAAUGGUCUUGUCAUGGGGAGCCAGGAAAGGGCAAAGACAAAUGAACAGCAGCGUCCAUUGCACAGAGUGUAUUCAGACAAGAUGGCAUGGAAUGGCACUGAACAAGGCACAGGACCUUACAGUUUGGUAUUAUUUGGAAUUGCAAUACUGCUUUCAUGGUAUAAUGGAUAUUCUUGUGCUGCAUAGUCUAUUGUUGUGUAUGCAGAAGGCCAAGUCAUGUGCAGUAAAAGAGGAGCAGUUGUAUUUCUUUGCAAAGGCUGCAUAGAGUUGAGUUUUUGAGACUCAAAGGUGCAGCAUACUAAAAAUCAAAACUAAAAAUAGAGUGGGAGUAUGAAAUCUCAGGCAUUGUUGUGACUGAGGUGAGGUCUAUCUACAAGAGUGUUCAGACCUCUGAAAGCAGAAAAACAGAAGAAAAUGAAAGGGUGCUCCAGGUAAAAUUCUGUAGACAGUUCUUAUGUGUUUAAAAACAGUAAAAAAUGUGAUAUUUUCCUGGAGGGGAAAAGAAAAAAAAAGAAAAUCUCUUUCAGAGCUGUGUGUUUAUAUUCAUAAAAAUGGGGAUCACGCUGUUGUAUAUAUUGUGAAAAAUAGGGUAGCAAUGUAGAUUAAGACUGCUAUUCCAAAAUUUUUGUUUUCUUUUUUGUGUUCCCUGAUAUGCGCUAAAAAUAUGUUCAAUAUCUUAACAUCUGCAUUGUUAUGAAAAAAUGGCAUGUCUUUCUUUUUGUUUUCAGUUGUGUUGUUCUUGCAUUACAUUUUGUUCCAUGCUCUCUCUUCUUUUGGGAUGUGAAGUCAUUUUCUUUUGUCAUUAGUAGAUGUAAUCAACUUAACUCCAAAACUGCACUAUGCACCACUUGGAAGAGGUUGUUUCUUCUAUUCUGCCUCAAAAAACUCACAUUGUAUGUUGUGAAUAUGGAGUUGCUUGUGGAAGUGUCUCCUGAUUGGCAGAGAGGGGCAGUAGGUAAAGGGAGCUAAGCCUAUCCCAUUUAAAAAAACAUGUGAGGUUGAAGAAAGACAGAGUGAGAGUACUUUGCAUACUAUUGUGUGUUAGCGUGUUUAAUCAUAAAUGCACCAGUACAUCCCAUUGAUUUCAACUGGAGCAUGAGAAGCAUGGGUAAGGCCAUGCCCUUGGCAGGCUUCUGAGCACCAUGCAGCAGAAGGUGAGUGAGUGAAGAUGGGCUGUAGUUCUGAUGCAUGUGUCAUGUAGAGGAAGCAAAACAGGCAAGAAAUAAGGUCAGACUUGCUGUAAUGACAAGAAAGGGAAAAGUUAAGAUGGACUAACAGUGAGGCCAAGAUGACUGGUGAGGGGUCAAGUAGGUGAGGGCUAGCUUGGGGAGGUCAUUAGCUGUUUGAUGUUGCUGCUUUCCAGUACGCUGACUGUAACACUAGAUUCCUUGAUUCCUCUUUCUCACCUAGUUGGUGCACUGGAAAAGGUCUACCCCACAAACUGUUGCUACUCAAUUGUCUCAAGAAGCAGAGCUGAAUGUUAAUGCUCUGACUCUGUCCCUCAGUUGUGCAGUUGUCAAUAUGUUGCCACAAAAAUAAAUUUGACUGUCUUGUUUGGUUAUUUUCUUUCCUUGAAAACUGAAGAAAUUCUGCAGGUACAGAAAGCACUUCAAAAAAAUGUUAAGGGGGCAGAACCAGGCAACCAGCACUGAGAAGUGCUAAAAUUGAGGUUGCAGCUCUGCUUUCUUGGAAGUAUGUGUUAGUGCAAAAUCUUAUAUCAAAUGGUAAGUUUUGUUGUUUUCCCAGAAUAAACAUGCCUGCGGUAAAAUGGUGGUGUUAUGGUAUGAGUAGGAGAUAUGUAGGACAGGAGAUUAUCACAGAUAUUCCUGAGCUUGGGCAAAACUGCCAAAGUCAUUCAGCUGUCCCAGGCAACCCUCUUCUCUCAGAGGUUUCCACUGGCUGCCUCCAUCUGCAGCUCCCUUCCUCUGGGCAGCAGCACUCAUGACAGCAACAGCCUCUGGGGCUAUGUAUGUUUGGUGCCAUCCCUUAAAAAAACGCUGGAAGUAGGGAUUUCCCUGAUUUAUACCCUUUUUGUAAGCUAGCAGCAUGGCGAUGGUUCCUGUCUUCAUACAAACUUCCUAUGUGUUUCAGAGGAGGUGCUGGGCUAUGCGGACAGCCUUCAUUUAUCUAAUGGUGCAUGCACUGUGCUUUGGGAACACCUCAUCUCUAAAUUUCUUCUUGUCACAAGAGUGGGAAGGUGUGAAAUGACAUAGGGCAUUGGACAAGGACAAAGGAGGGUCUCAUGGCUAAGACAUCAGGUGGUACAAAAGAGAACUGAGUUCUGUCACUGCUGCCUGCACCACAGUUUUCUUUUAUGAAGCUAUUAUUUCUGUGACCAACUACCAAAAUGCUGGUUUAUGUCUUAUUUUUCAGAUUUCCAAAUCAACUCCAGCAGUCACGUGGUCCUUCAAAGCCAGUUUUAGUUGAUGAGCAGUAAGAAAUUCAGUGUAAGUCACAACCCUUUCUAGAGAGUAAUAGGCAGUGAAACUGAACUAUUGAAUAGGUGACACGAGAGUGGAAAAAUCAGGCAGCUUGAGGUCUGGAAUGGUUCUGUAUUUGAAUUGCUCCUUUCCCCACCCACCCCCCAAACAAUUCAUAUUCUCCAAAGAGCCAUGUGCUUAAAUAGAAGUGUUUGAAACCAAAAAGACAAUAGAUACAUCAGUUAAUCUAUAGUUCUCGUCUAUAUUAAGUUACUUCUAAAUGGUAGUAAAGGCUCAAUUUAGCUGAGCACUUAGUAAGGCAUCUAGCUGCAUAUUUGAAUUGAGGCCAGGAUUGAUAAACUCGGAUACUGUGUGAUAAUACAUUCUAACAUGAACGUUGAAUCUACAGUGGUUAAUGUGUAUGUCCAAAGAUGACUGUGUCUUGCUUCUACUUAGAUUUGUUUUUUGAUUCUUUUGAAGCUAAUUUAUAUGUGAUACUGGGUAAGAGACAGUUCACACAUUCCCAGGAAAAAAAAAAAAAAGAAAAAAGAAAAAAGAAAAAGGGAUACAAACAAUUUAUUUAUUUUGAAAAGAAUGAAUUUAUAAGCAGAGAAUAUUCUCUAAUUUCCCCAAAUACCUGAGAUAUGUCACAGAACUCAAGUUUGUUUUGGUUCCUUUGACACCUUUUUGUUCAGUGGUUAGUGAAUCAUUUGCUGUCUGCAUGCAAGAUCCAGUUGCAGCAGACUGGAGAGAGUCUUCUGAGACCUCAGAAACCUGCAAAGGAAAGAAUUCCUUUGAGUAGACUAGCACCAAAACAAUACUCAUUUUUAACUUGUGGGGAAGCAUUUAAAUUGUGUCUUAAGUGUCACUGUAAUGAGGUCUUUACCUCAUUACUAUUUGGCAGUUUCAAAAUAAAACACAGAGAUUUUAAAGAUAAGAUGUUCAUGACUUCCAAAAGACAGUACACCUCAGGGCAGUUAUCCUCUACAAAAAGAGGAUAAACUUGAAAUUUCACAAAAGCAAAACCAUGAAUAAAGGACAUGAAAUGGAAGCAAUGUAAGGAAUAAAGAGUGUAAUUAAGGAUUUAUCUAUAGAACAGGCAGAAGAUGUACAUAAAAUAGUAACAAAAUUUUUUUGAAAUUUUGCUAAAUACGUGUGAGCCUGAGCUAUCCUGAAGAGAAAGAAAAUAGUGAAACACAUUGCUAUCACUUGACUUUCCAGUAGAAAAAUAUUUGUUUCCUUUUUUAUUUUGCCAUUGAAUUAGUGUGAAGGUUUUUUAAGUUAUUUCAUUGUGGCUUGGCUAAAGCACGUUUUCCUUAGGUUAUGGACUAAAUUAUAAUUUCAAAAAUUAAAAUUAAUAUCAGUGGCAUCAUUCCCUCUAAGUUUCUUAUGUAAAUCGGAUGAAGACUCAGCAGAAUGCUGUGCUUUUCUGCAUGACGAUGGUGACUUCUAGAAUACAGCGUCUCCAGGAUAUGAGAAAACCAAAGUGUGUACAUACAAAACAAAACAGCUUUUAUAGCAAGGAAGAAUAUAUUUGAUUAUUUCAGAAUAAAACAUAAAUGGACUUGUUAACAAACUGACAAAGUCAAUGCUUUUGCAAAGUUCAUGGUGAGGUAGAGUUGGGUUUUGUUCUGUAUUCUCAUAAAACUUAGCAAAGAAAGUAGUAGUUGGUUUUGACGGUACUCACAGUCAACAUUAAAAAUACAGUUUGAAUUAUAAUUUAGUAAAUAUAUUACUGUUGGUUUGGGUAAAAAGGACAUGAAGUUGUCUCCAUUUUGCUUAUGAUUUGUGAUUUUCAGCUGAAAGAUUCUUUGUGAAAAUCCUUCCAUAAAUAGAGCGUAAUUGUUGAUAAAUUACAACAUAGUAUUUUACUGCACAGUGAUAGAGCACUUUUCUACUCCGAUAGUUAGGACAACCUCGAUUUUGAGGCUUUCUAGAGACAAAAUUACCACUUCUUUUCUGUAUUUCUUCUGUUCGUUUGGUGAUCAUGGCUAAAUCAUGGGAAACAGUAGCUUCAAUUUUUCCUCUCUUCUUUAAAAUGAAGGCUUAACUAAGUACAUUUUAAGAAGAUUACUUUUAAACGCAUAUCUCUGCUAGGCAAAAUACCAAUAUGACAUAGUAUAUAUAUUUUUGUCUUUCUUUUCCUUUCUGUAGCAGUUAUUAUAGAAGUAAUUAUAUCACCAUAAUUUCUUUUCUUCUCCAAACUUUUUUGUUGUUGUUGUUCUCUUCAUCUAUGAAUGCUUAACUCCUUGCAUUAAAAAACAAAACAAAAAUAAAUAAGCACACAACAAUGAAGUAAAAAAAUCCUCAUUGAGAAUAUGAUCCAAUACUCCCAUAUUUGCCCAUCUCAUUAGGGUAUAUUUCUCUACUGUUUAACACCAGCUGACUGGUAAUUGUAGAAAAAAUUGCAUGUUUAUGGAUAGCUGAUGCAUCAUUUAGCUAGGAUAUGCCUUAGCCCAAUAUAUUUAAAACAUUAGGCAUGGAAUAGUAAUCUGUACAUUUACCUCUCCUUCUGGAAUAAUCUUUUUAUAAAAAUUGUUUUUCACUGUUGUUUUCUUUUGUAACUUUUCAGACUCAGAAAAACCUAGGUAGCUGCUGCUGACUUAAUGAAUAACCUUAUUGCUUAUUUAUUAGGGUUUUUAGUCAGCUUUUACUAAUUAUAUUAUACCAUGUGAGUAUUUGUUUGAUAUAUAUAUAUAUGUCUCAUUUUCCACAUAUAAUUCAGUGUUUUAUAUACACACGUGUCUCAUGUUUAUGUACAUGUAUCUAUGUACACAUGCACAAAUAAUCCCCCAUUUAUAUAUGGAGAGGGAGAGAUACACACAUAUCGGAAACAUAUAGGAGGUGUAUAUAUACUUACCCCGUAUCCUGUGGUUGAUUCCAUCCAUUGUCACUGUAACAAAAUGCUCCUCUCACAGUAGGUGAUCUGUAACUGUCCUUGACAUGCAUAUGUAUUUAUUCCUGUGGAACUACCCCUGCAGAGAACAUACUGAGAGAAUAUUGCUGGGUGAUUCGUAUCAACAAAUAGGGAGUGGGGGUAAAAUUGUGACAUAGAUACCAAUGACAAAAGCCAUAUUGACUCUAGUGGGAUGAGAAUGUAGGUGGAGAGAGAAUGAGCAAUAAUACAUUAAUAUAUUUAUAAUCUGCUGUUGCCUCCAAGUGUGCUUUCUUCUGCAUCACUGAUAUUGACCUUCUGUACUUUACUAUUCAGCUUAUGAAAACUAAUUCAAUUAGUAUCAAAGCACAGGUAAAUCUCAAAGCAUACUAGUACUCUUGUUGUAAUUAUUGUGUGUCAAAUUAAAUUGCUGUUAGAAAGACAUUCAACUGAAUUGAUCUCCAUUAGCUUAAGUGGUUGUGUGAGUUUGUUGUCAUAUGGGGAAAAAAAAAUCUCUUCAGUUGUAGAUUCUACAGUAAAGUAGUGAUCAAAAAGAGUAUUGAUAAUCCACUGAAAGCUGGGAUGUUAAUGGUGUUACAGGAUGAAGAGUAGUGAAAUAAAAUGAUGAGUCUAAGGCUGUAUGACUUGAACUUCUAAUGUGCUUUCUUCUGCAAAGAACUGAACAUGUAAAUCAUGCUAGUAUGACUGCUUAUGAACAUGAUUAUCAUCAGCCAUACAUAGCACAGUCAUCAAAUCCUGUGCAUAUCUGGUUUUCUAUGGGCUAUAUGAGUUCUUAGAUGUAAAAAUUAAAGAGUAUGACGAAGGUCUUGCAGAACCUGUGUUGUUUGUGAUGCCAAAGCUCAGCUAGUCAAGCAUAGAAGGUAUGGCUGAUAUUCCUGUACAUGGUUUCAGUUAAGACUGGGAUAGAUUUGAAGUGUGAACGUUCAGUGAAUAAUAGCAAAGUGUUGUAAAGCUGCUCAUUGUUUUUUCUCAAAGGACAAACUGGUGCAUUGCUCUGUGGAAAAUAAUAAGGGCAUAAGAUAGAUGUUGAUAUUCCAGAUGAUAGUGUUUGUGACAUGAGAAUAUCACAUACAGUAGUUACAAUUGAAAUACAAUUUAUUCAGACCACAUGUAUUAAUUUUGUUUUGAAAAUGUACGGCUGAGUACUUGAUAGUUUAGAUACAAUAAUUUUACGAAGAGUUGCCAAGAAGAAGUUGACAGUUUGGAACAAGGAUUGCUGUGGUUGCUACGUUCAGAAGCCUAGAACAAGCCAGCAGGAAAUAAUACCAGGGUGGGAAAGUAUUGCUAUGGUUACCGAGUAUUUUCUUUAAAGGAGAGGUGGAUAGCGCAGCAAGAAUCGCUGAAACUUAGGUAAUACUGUAUUAUAUAGAAAGCAAAAAGACUGAAAGAUAAUAAUUGUCUUGUGGUCUUAAUGGCAUUUUGUUAGUUUCCAGCAAAGAAGGAUUUAAUUACCAUAGGAAUAAUUUGUGGAAGCUUUGUUACGAAAAUACCCUUAGCUUUUAUUUUUUUUAAAGUGGAAUGCCAGCACAAUAUCUUGCAUAUUUUGGCUCCAUCUCUUUGUUUUUAAAACAAAAAGACCUUUUUCUUCUGGUGAAGUCGAUUGAGAGUUCUUUUAAAAAGAAUAAAAGUGUAAUUAUACCAAAAUAAUUUAAUUCAUGUAAACUCUUGACAGCUUUUCAGUAUACUAAAAAACUGUAAUAUAACUGCCUUUUGCAAAACUACGUGUAAUACAAAUUGAUUGCAAAAUACAGUAAGAAUUGUAAUAUAUAAUAAAAAUCUGCUUGAAGGAGUGCUGUAAAUAUGAACUGUAAAAGUCAUCUAGCAGGCAUCCUUUUUUUAUAGUAGACACCCUAUAGUACUUAAUUGCAAUUAGCUCUCUGUGCUUUAUCCUGAAAAGAAAGAAGCAGAAAACCACAACAAAGCUCAGCGUUCCCAUUUCAAUCUUGGAGAAGACCCUCUCCUUUCCCUCUGAUGUUUAUAAAAAGAGGUACAGUCUGAUGCAUCCGGACUGUGUGCACUGAACUGUGCCCAGUACACUCUGCCCCAUCAUCUGAAUCUCAGCCUCAGAGGGCAGCCUGGUUUAACUGCGUUUGUAGGCCCACCAUUUCGGUUCACCUGAAUACGUCUGAUGGGACUGCACAUAUAAGACGAAACUCAUGAGCUACACAAUGGCACCGAAGGUCUGCACCUGACCCUCUGUAGUGUGUCGGUUUAGUUCCUUGUCCAUGCUGAAGAGCACGGAGCAGAACUGAUCACUGUAGGAGGUAAAGGAUGGAAAGAGUGAGGGACAGACUAUCUCUGCUCACAGGAGCCUGCUCUCUGUUGGAGCGUAAGUCCAUCACACCAUACAAAUUGACCAUGUCACAACUUAACUUUGGGCAUGUUUCUUUGAAGGUAAGAAGACGGAGGAUUUAAAUUGCCGCAUGAAAAAUGUUCAGCUAUUUUUUAUUGUUUUCCAUAGUUUUAGUGCUCUUUUACCUGUGCUGUGAGAUAGGGAUAUGAAAUUUGGAAGUGGGUGGGUACCUGAACAUGGAAAUCAUCUGCAGCAUCUAGUAGUGCAGACCCUGGCUACCACAACUGUGAACAACAAACCUUUCUAAAAUAAUCUUACAGCUUUGUUAGAAAAUUCCAGACUUGUAUGCAGAGAACACAAAAGAUGCGGUGUGAAGUACACAGCAGGGACAGCACGCUUCAGACGGAUGCUGUAUACUGGAGCUGGAGUUUCUCUGUAUAAGGGCAGUGAGACAAAAACUCAGAAGUCUGGGAGAAAGACGUGAUAUGGAGGAGAUGAAGGAGAUGCAACUAUUAUGAUGAGAUCAACUGAGGAGAUGAGAUGAGGUCCCUUGGAUAGGUAAAUGGAAAGUGUAAACAAGAAGUUCCAAGAAAGGAAUGGUAACUGGGAUUUAGAAACCUGAGGCACUAGAGACUGAAAUGGAAUGAGUGACAGAAGAAGGUAGGAGAAUGUUACAGUGGUGAGAGUCAGUGCUUGGAAGCUUAAGAGUAAAUGAAGAACAAUUAUUCUAUGGCAAAAAAAAAAAAAAAAAAAAAAAAAAAAAAAAAAAACCAGC